GGCCUCGUGGCGCAACGGUAGCGCAUUCGACUCCAGAUCGAAAGGUUAUCCGUUCAAAUCGGGUCGGGGUCA
rnacentral:tRNA from 1 species